rnacentral:rRNA from 1 species
CCUACGGUGAGCAGCAGUGGGGAAUCUUCCGCAAUGGGCGAAAGCCUGACGGAGCAACGCCGCGUGAUCGAAUGAAGGCCUUCGGGUUGUAAAGAUCUGUUGACAGGGACGAAUAAGCCAUGCGAAUAGUUUGGUGUAUGACGGUACCUGUUUAGAAAGCUCCGGCUAACUACGUGCCAGCAGCCGCGGUAAUACGGAGGGAGCAAGCGUUGUCCGGAAUUACUGGGCGUAAAGGGCGCGUAGGUAGGUGCUUAAGUCAGGUGUGAAAACGCUGGGCGCAACCUGGAGACUGCACUUGAAACAGGGUAUCUUUAGGGCAGGAGAGGAAAGUGGAAUUCCUAGGGUAGCGGUGAAAGGCGUAGAUAUUAGGAGGAACACCAGUGGCGAAGGCGACUUUCUGGACUGUACCUGACGCUGAGGCGCGAAAGCGUGGGUAGCGAACGGGAUUAGAUACCCCUGUAGUC